rnacentral:rRNA from 1 species
AGAGUUUGAUCAUGGCUCAGAAUCAACGCUGGCGGCGUGCCUAACACAUGCAAGUCGAGCGAGAAAAGGGGGGCAACUCCCUGAGUAAAGCGGCGCACGGGUGAGUAACACGUGGGUAAUCUGCCCUGGAGUGGGGAAUAACACCGGGAAACCGGUGCUAAUACCGCAUACGAUCACGAUGUCUGCGGACGUUGUGAUGAGAGGAGCAAUUCGCUCCAGGAGGAGCCCGCGGCUGAUUAGCUAGUUGGUGAGGUAAUGGCUCACCAAGGCUACGAUCAGUAUCCGGUCUGAGAGGACGGUCGGACACACUGGAACUGAGACACGGUCCAGACUCCUACGGGAGGCAGCAGUGGGGAAUUUUUGGCAAUGGGGGCAACCCUGACCAAGCAACGCCGCGUGGGUGAUGAAGUAUCUCGGUACGUAAAACCCUUUCGACGGGGAAGAAACCGCAAGGUUGACGGUACCCGUAGAAGAAGCCCCGGCUAACUCCGUGCCAGCAGCCGCGGUAAUACGGGGGGGGCAAGCGUUGCUCGGAAUUACUGGGCGUAAAGGGUGCGUAGGCGGUUCGCUAAGUUGGAUGUGAAAACUCUGGGCUUAACCCAGAGCCUGCAUUCAAAACUGACGGGCUAGAGUUCUGGAGGGGGUAGCGGAAUUCCUGGUGUAGCGGUGAAAUGCGUAGAUAUCAGGAGGAACACCGGUGGCGAAGGCGGCUACCUGGACAGAAACUGACGCUGAGGCACGAAAGCUAGGGGAGCAAACAGGAUUAGAUACCCUAGUAGUCC